ACUCGGAAUGUGGCUGAGGCGGAGGCGCUUCGGCUCUGCGCAGCCUGAAGCAUCGCCUCGCCCCGGGGGUUGUCCGGUCCCAGACCACCUCACCCCUGUGGCCAAGGUCGCAACCGAGCCACAAGUGGCCAGCAAGGCGUGAGGAUGGAGGGUGGAGACAGCACCAGCCAGGUCAGGGUAGAAGGAUCUCGGCGGGCGCAGACCGUGUUCAGCUGAGCCCGCGUGCGCGAGCUGGGGUCCGGGUCCCCUCCACCGGCCGGGCCGCUACGGGGAGGGCGACGAGCGCCCCCUGGCCGAGCCGCCUGCGGGCGCCCCCGCCGAGUCCGUCCCUCGCCAGUCACCGCGCCACAGAGCAGCUGCGGCCCCGCGCUGGAACCGCGAUCUGCCACCAGGGAGCAACCAUGUCACCAUUUCUUCGAAUUGGUCUGUCCAACUUUGACUGUGGGUCCUGCCAGUCUUGCCAGGGAGAGGCUGUGAACCCUUACUGCGCUGUGCUUGUGAAAGAGUAUGUUGAAUCAGAAAAUGGGCAGAUGUAUAUUCAGAAAAAGCCAACCAUGUACCCACCCUGGGACAGCACCUUUGAUGCCCACAUCAACAAGGGGAGAGUGAUGCAGAUCAUUGUGAAGGGCAAAAACAUGGAUCUCAUCUCUGAAACCACUGUAGAGCUCUACUCACUGGCUGAGAGAUGCAGGAAGAACAAUGGGAGGACAGAAAUAUGGUUAGAGCUGAAACCUCAAGGCCGAAUGUUAAUGAACGCAAGAUACUUUCUGGAAAUGAGUGACACAAAAGACUUGAGUGAAUUUGAGGCUGAAGGCUUCUUUGCUCUGCAUCACCGCCGAGGAGCCAUCAAACAGGCCAAAGUCCACCAUGUCAAGUGUCAUGAGUUCACCGCCACCUUUUUCCCACAACCUACCUUUUGUUCUGUCUGCCACGAGUUUGUCUGGGGUCUGAACAAACAGGGCUACCAGUGUCAACAAUGUAAUGCAGCAAUCCACAAGAAGUGUAUUGAUAAAGUUAUAGCUAAGUGCACAGGAUCAGCUAUCAACAGCCGAGAAACCAUGUUCCACAAGGAGAGAUUCAAGAUAGACAUGCCGCACAGAUUUAAAGUCUACAAUUACAAGAGCCCAACCUUCUGUGAACACUGUGGGACCCUGCUGUGGGGGCUGGCUCGACAAGGACUCAAGUGUGAUGCAUGUGGCAUGAACGUCCAUCACCGAUGCCAGACCAAGGUUGCCAACCUCUGUGGUGUAAACCAGAAGCUAAUGGCUGAAGCCCUAGCAAUGAUUGAAAGCACCCAACAGGCUCGCUCCUUAAGAGAUUCAGAACACAUCUUUCGAGAAGGUCCAGUUGAAAUUGGUCUCCCAUGUUCAGUCAAAAAUGAAGCAAGGCCUCCAUACCUAGCAACAACUGGGAAAAAAGAGCCUCAAGGAAUCUCCUGGGACUCUCCAUUGGAUGAGACAGAUAAAGUGUGCCAUCAACCAGAACCUGAACCAAACAUAGAAAGACCAACUCUGUACAUGAAGCUAAAAAUUGAUGAUUUCAUGUUGCACAAGAUGCUGGGGAAGGGAAGUUUUGGCAAGGUCUUCCUUGCAGAGUUCAAGAAAACUAAUCAGUUUUUUGCAAUAAAAGCUUUAAAGAAAGAUGUAGUUUUGAUGGACGACGAUGUUGAGUGUACCAUGGUAGAGAAGAGAGUCCUGUCCUUGGCCUGGGAGCAUCCAUUUCUAACACACAUGUUCUGUACAUUCCAGACCAAGGAAAACCUCUUUUUUGUGAUGGAGUAUCUCAACGGAGGAGACUUAAUGUACCACAUUCAAAGUUGCCACAAGUUUGACCUUCCCAGAGCCACGUUUUAUGCUGCUGAAAUCAUUCUUGGUCUGCAGUUCCUUCAUUCCAAAGGAAUUGUCUAUAGGGACCUGAAGCUAGAUAAUAUCCUGCUAGACAAAGAUGGACACAUCAAAAUAGCAGACUUUGGAAUGUGCAAGGAGAACAUGUUAGGAGAUGCAAGGACCAACACUUUCUGCGGGACUCCUGACUACAUCGCCCCGGAGAUCUUGCUGGGUCAGAAAUACAACCAUUCCGUUGACUGGUGGUCCUUUGGUGUUCUUCUCUAUGAAAUGCUGAUUGGGCAGUCACCUUUCCAUGGGCAAGAUGAAGAAGAGCUUUUCCAUUCUAUCCGCAUGGACAAUCCCUUUUACCCAAGAUGGCUAGAGAAAGAAGCUAAGGACCUUCUAGUGAAGCUCUUCGUGAGAGAACCUGAAAAGAGGCUGGGAGUGAGAGGAGACAUCCGCCAACAUCCUUUGUUCCGAGAGAUCAACUGGGAAGAACUUGAGAGAAAGGAGAUUGACCCACCUUUCAGGCCGAAAGUGAAAUCGCCAUACGACUGUAGCAAUUUUGACAAGGAAUUCUUGAAUGAGAAACCCCGACUGUCAUUUGCUGAUGGAGCACUGAUCAACAGCAUGGACCAGAACAUGUUUAGGAACUUUUCUUUUGUGAACCCAGGGAUGGAAGGGCUCAUCUCCUGAACCCCACCUCUCCAGAGACUUGAAGGAAUUUGCAUCCUCUCUGAGAACUGUUCAAGCAACACUUCUUGGGUCCCUUUUUCAAGUUGGGAAAGAAAAGAAACACUCAGCAAUAAAGUUGAUUUCAGUAUCAGUGAAGUCAUUCAUUACUAUCCUCACAUCCUGACAAGAAAAGAAAUGAAGUGCAUAAUUCUUCUAAGAGAAAAGAAAACCAAUCCCUUAUCAUCCAUUACUGGUGAUUUGAUGACAAGUCUCUCUUUAGGCAUCAUUCAGAAUAAAUGACCCCUGCAUGCUAUUUGCAGUAGCCAAUCUUGUUUAAUUGGAGUUCUAACUAUACACUUUAAAGUAUUUGUGCUGUUUGUAUAUUUGGAUAAAAUAUUGUGACAAUGACAAAGAAAUGAAUGUGUCAAAAUAGAAUAAAAGAAGAAAGAUGCCUCUUAAUAGUUUAAUUCCCUACAUGCGUCCCCAAGAACUUGCUUUGUCGUGUUGAUCACCAAAAUGUAGCUAGCAUGGAUGUUCUGCAAUUUGGAAAUAAAAAUAAAUCCCAAAGUGGGUGA